rnacentral:lncRNA from 1 species
AUGCUUAAGACUGAAUACAUCAGAGUAGCCUCACCAAUACCAAGAAUAAUGGGAGGACUAUCUUGCCAUCCUUAUGUCAUUUACUUUCCCACUGUCAUGUCCAUGUUCAGUGUUUUUCAGGAAGAAGACGCCCAUCUUCUCAUUGAGCAAGUGCAAAGAGUCAAACACAUCUCACUGAGCCACACUGCACCUGGAGAUGUAUCCAGGGGGAGAUAUGCAAAAAUGCACAGCAGCCCCAGGUUUCCUCCUAGCAUUUCCUGUCAGCUGUCUGGCUAUCUACCAGGGAAAAAGAAAAACCUCCUAAUACGGUUCCUGUGGGAAUUUGAAUUACUACAGACAAGGCCAGAAAUCUCCUCAGUCUACCCUUUGCUCAUAGAGGUGUCUCCUCCUUCUUCAACUUGCCUGCUAUUAAACAGAGCUUUUUAUAGUACCCAGACUAUGUCAGCCCUCUCAGAUGAAUUACUUUUUCUGAAGGAAAAAAAAAAGGGAAAAUAAAAUGAUUCAUGAUCUUGACCCUUGGGGCUGGAAAGUAAUGUCUCAUUGAGUGAAAAGGCAGCAUAAAACCUUAGAGAAGCUGUAAGUUUAUAUUUCAACUCAUACCUGUUAACUUUCCAGCAGUUGGUGGAAAUUAUUGUGAAGAAUACAAGAAAGAAUUUGGCCAUGUUGUAUGGAAAUAACAAUAAAAAACUCUUCUGUAUGUAAAAAAUUAAGGAA